UACAGAGGUCUCAAGCGUUGUUCGGAUUCAUUGGGCGUAAAGGGUGCGUAGGUGGCGCCGUAAGUCAGGUGUGAAAUUUCGGAGCUUAACUCCGAAACUGCACUUGAUACUGCGGUGCUUGAGGACUGGAGAGGAGACUGGAAUUUACGGUGUAGCAGUGAAAUGCGUAGAGAUCGUAAGGAAGACCAGUGGCGAAGGCGGGUCUCUGGACAGUUCCUGACACUGAGGCACGAAGGCCAGGGGAGCAAACGGG
rnacentral:rRNA from 1 species